CGCUGAGGGAGGCCGUGUGUUCAGCCUGCCCGGCCCUGGAGGCUGUCCAGCCUCUCUGGCUUCUGGGCCCCGAGUGCGUUUGAAAGCUCUCCCUUCCAACUGUGCAGGCCUUAGAGGUGUAAAGAGCUGCCUUCUGAUGAAAGUGUGUAUUUAUGAAGAAAGGAGGAAGACCUGACCUCCACUGACUCUCCCCUCAGUGUCUGGGCCGCCGAUGCCUCAACUUCCUUUUCUUGUCCUGAAACGAAACCUCAGGAUCCUCUUUCACCAGAUUUAAGAUUAGCGUGUCAUUCAUCAAGAGAGAUCUUUGACUUAUACGUGGAAAGCCUCAAAAAAGUUAAAAGACUGAAAAACACAGAGGAUGAUUGCAGCAAAAUAAGAAAUUAGUAUCAAAAUGAGAAAUUAAUAGCUUUUGGUAUUGAUUUCUAACAUAAUUUCAUAGUGACAAGAGAAAAGACUCUGUGAAAUUUUUGCAUCUUGUUUUAUGCCCCUGGAUAUGUUCCAGUGUCUCCUGGUUUAUAGACUGUGGGAACUUGAAUACAAUUUGUAUCCUGCUGUUGUGUGAACAUUGUAUAAAUCUUAAUUAUGUUGAAUUGGUUUAUAGUACUUUUCCAGCCUACUGUAUCCUUCUACUUUUCUGUCUCUUCAUUCCAAUAAUUUUGAGAGUUUAAUAUUGAAACUCCAACUAAAAAUCUUAAUUUACCUACUUAAAAAUAAUUGUAAUACAUAGUGGAACCAUAUGUAACUUUGUUCUGUAUUUUCCAAGUCUCCUGUAAGUGUGUUACCAUACUUUCAUAAUUAAAAAAAAAAUUAAACAAAAAAGUACUAUUUAAAAUAAUCGGAUUUUCAUUGUUGGAAGAGUUAUAUCGUUCCUGCAACCUGGGCCACGUGCCUGUUACACUUCACAGCUGUAAACUUUCCCUAGAUCACAAGACUUUGUAUGCAACUGUUUUAGUUCACAUACCCAUUUUGGGGAAAACCUAAAAGGAUAUUGUCUCAAGUAUGUGGUGUUUCAGAAUACUGGUUUGCCUAAGAUGAAAUAUAAAAUUAUCACAAAUACUUUCUGAUGUA